rnacentral:rRNA from 1 species
UACGUAGGUGGCAAGCGUUGUCCGGAUUUACUGGGCGUAAAGAGCGCGCAGGCGGUCGUUCAAGUCGCGUGUGAAAGCCCCCGGCUCAACUGGGGAGGGUCACGCGAUACUGAUCGACUCGAAGGCAGGAGAGGGAAGUGGAAUUCCCGGUGUAGUGGUGAAAUGCGUAGAUAUCUGGAGGAACACCGGUGGCGAAGGCGGCAUUCUGGACCGAUAUUGACGCUGAGGAGCGAAAGCCAGGGGAGCAAACGGG